rnacentral:rRNA from 1 species
CCAGACUCCUACGGGAGGCAGCAGUGGGGGAUAUUGCACAAUGGGGGCAACCCUGAUGCAGCGACGCCGCGUGAGCGAUGGAGUACUUCGGUAUGUAAAGCCCUAUCGGCAGGGAAGAAGCAAGACGGUACCUGACUAAGAAGCCCCGGCUAACUACGUGCCAGCAGCCGAGGUAAUACGUAGGGGGCGAGCGUUUUCCGGAUUCACUGGGUGUAAAGGGAGCGUGGACGGCCAAGCAAGCCAGGGGUGAAAGCCCGGGGCCCAACCCCGGGACUGCCCUUGGAACUGCUUGGCUGGAGUGCGGGAGGGGCAGGCGGAAUUCCUGGUGUAGCGGUGAAAUGCGUAGAUAUCAGGAGGAACACCGGCGGCGAAGGCGGCCUGCUGGACCGCGACUGACGUUGAGGCUCGAAAGCGUGGGGAGCGAACAGGAUUAGAUACCCCCGUAA